GACGAACGCUGGCGGCGUGCUUAACACAUGCAAGUCGAACGGAAAGGCCCUGCUUUUGUGGGGUGCUCGAGUGGCGAACGGGUGAGUAACACGUGAGUAACCUGCCCUUGACUUUGGGAUAACUUCAGGAAACUGGGGCUCAUACCGGAUAGGAGCUCCUGCUGCAUGGUGGGGGUUGGAAAGUUUCGGCGGUUGGGGAUGGACUCGCGGCUUAUCAGCUUGUUGGUGGGGUAGUGGCUUACCAAGGCUUUGACGGGUAGCCGGCCUGAGAGGGUGACCGGCCACAUUGGGACUGAGAGACGGCCCAGACUCCAACGGGAGGCAGCAGGGGGGAAUAUUGCACAAUGGGCGGGAGCCUGAUGCAGCAACGCCGCGUGCGGGAUGACGGCCUUCGGGUUGUAAACCGCUUUCGCCUGUGACGAAGCGUGAGUGACGGUAAUGGGUAAAGAAGCACCGGCUAACUACGUG
rnacentral:rRNA from 1 species